CACACACACACACACACACACACACACACCUCUCGCUCUACACCAUACGAGUACCCUGCAGACUUUAAAAAACAUCAGUGCCUACAGGACUUAGUGGAACACGGUGCUGCCAGUGGACCCUAAUUGGCUGGCACAGUGCACAGCAACAUCUGCACCGAGCGAGGGGUAGAAGUCCCAAGGUCAAAAUGGAGGACGCAUUCGAAGGUGGUUGAGAAGGACCGAGCUAAGAUACCGUGGGACAGAUCCAGACUGAUCUGUCCCACGGUAUCUGGGCAGCUUGUGAUGGCCAACCAACCGGACAUUGUGGUGGUCGACAAACAGUGGAACAAGGAAGUGGUGAUGGAUGUAGCGUUCCCAAGCAACAGUAAGAAGAAGGAACACGAGAAGUUAAAAAGACACUAAGGGCUGAAAGUGGAGGGACAGAAGAUGUGGAAACUGACGGCUACAGUGGUGCCAGUGGUAAUGGCAGCACUCAGGGCUGUAACCCACAGACUGGGAGAGAGAGGCUCUGGAAGAUUCCAGGAACAACAUCUGAGAUCUCUGUCAUAGAGAGCACAGUCCUGGGAGCAGCUAAGAUACUGCACUGCAGAACCUUCAGGCGCCAAGGCCAUUUUUAAAACAGGAUUAUAAAUCAAUAUUGAGACGGUAUUAAAAAUCCUACUUUGAAGA